rnacentral:lncRNA from 1 species
GUAUUAUACAACGAGAGGGUCAGUAGUCGUGGACGAUAGCAGCAAGUUGCUCGUGGAUGCAAGGGAGGAAAAGAAAAAGAUGGUUUGGCCGAAAUUGCACAUCACAUUGUCAAGUAAAGAAAAAGAAGAAGAUUUUUUGGCUAUGAAAGGUUGCAAGCUUCCUCAAAGACCUAAGAAAAGGGCCAAGUUGAUACAAAGAACCAUUCUUGUAAGUCCUAUAAUUCAGACGUAUUGGACGCGUUUCAUUUUAAAUAUUUCUUGAUUCAUUCCUAGUCUAAGCUACGUCCUUUAUUGUUGUGUGUAGUUGGUGCAACCAGGUACGUGGUUGCAAGAUUUGUGCCCAGAAAGGUAUGAAGUAAGAGAGAAGAAGACCUCUAAGAAGGUAUUGCUCUUUGCUCUCUUUCAUUGCACGCACCCGUGUCAGGUCCUCUAAAAGUCUGGUGCUACUGCUACUUUUUGGAGAAUCCGACACACAUUAUUUUAAUGAAUGACACAUAUUAUUGGUGCAGAAACCAAGAGGAUUGAAAGCAAUGGGAAGCAUGGAAAGUGACUCAGAAUGACAUGUUGUGAUGGAUGAAUACAAAGAGAGAAUGAGGAUUUUUGUGAAUUCUUUUUGGGAUGAUGGGCACAAUAUAGAAACAAACAUUUGGAUUUUUAUUUUUUGGUAAAAUAAAAAUACCAUGUAUCAUGUUCAAUCAUCUUUUCCUUCUUUAUUUAGCUUUUCCUUUUUUGCCUUCUUCCUUUAUCUCUUCUUUUUUUAGAUUUUAAAAUCUUACCGUGAACACUUCAAUUUUAUCAAAGAUUUUGGUGUAUAUGCCAAAACUUAGUGUUUUAUGUAGGUCUAUUUUCCAAGAAAAGUUUAUUUAUAUAAUAACAGAUAUGAAAAUAGAUUUGUCUUUGAAUAAAAUUAUUAUAAUUUGGUAGUGAAAUUUAUUCCAUAAGUGAGAAAUGUGUGAUAAAAAAUUAUAAGGUGGAAUUAAUGGACAUGCUUUAAAAGGAUCAUCUUAAAUUUGUGACUUUAUGCUACCUUUUAGCCUCUUAACAUAAAUGUAAUCUACCUCCCUUGCAUGAUAUUUAUAAAUGACAACAAUAUAGUCAUCCUUAACUUAGCUUGAGAGUUUAUCGGAAACAACCUCUCUACGUCUACGAAGUAGAAGUAUGAUUUGUAUACACUCUACCCUCCUCAAACCCUACUUGUGGGAUUAAAAUGACAACAAUAUAGCCAUCCUUAUCUAAGACAAAGGGUCUAUCGGAAACAAUCUCGCUAUCUCCACGAGGUAGAUGUAUGAUCUGCAUACACUCUUUUCAAACCCUAUUUGAGGUAUUACACUGGUUGGACGUUGUUGUAUAGCCAUCCUUAACUUAGUUGGGGGUCUAUCGAAAAUAAUCUCUCUACUCGACCCUCUUCAAACUCCACUUGUGGGAUUACAUUGGUUGGACAUUGUUGUAUAGCCAGCCUUAGCUUAGGACCCUAAGCCCAAAUUUUCUUCUUCUCUUAAUCUUAGCCCAAGCCCAAUAUCAACAAAACAUUUUAACCCCAGCCCAUCUUCAAGAUUCAUUUGGGCUCUUCUCAUCCAUCCUCCUCCAACAUUUUUGCACUUCUUUUUCCCCUUCCACAGACUCCCAAAAGUCUCCAAACAUCACUUGAAUGGAGGGAAACUCAUCUAACCCUCCAUUCAACAUUCAACGGCCAAGAUUUGCCUCACUCAAAAAAGCCAAAAUUAAAAAAAUAAAAUUACAAAAAAAAAAAACCACAAAACUAUGGGAAAGGGAAAAAGAAAGUAGCAUCAAAGAAAAAGAUCAUCACUCUAAAGAAGAAAAACUACACCUUUUCUCAAGAAAAUUCAACAACCCCAUUUCAUAUGAUUGCAAAAAGACUCCAUCUUUGCUAAUUAUCUUGAAUUUUUUUCAAUAAAAAUCCCAUCUUUUUACAGCUUUUUGUGAGUUACUGAGGCUAAACAAGAAGAAGAAGAAGAAGAUAUAAUCUCUUUGUAAUUAUACUAUCUUUUGUUUGAUUUGUCUUUUGUUUAAUUUUUAAUGGUGUUGUUGCAGAGUCUUUUGAUAAAAUCUGGUGGAGUAUCUAUCUAUCUAACCAUAGAUCUUGAGGUCAGUAUUUGUUUUCUAUUUUGUACUGUUAUAAAAUCUCUAAAAAAAAAAGUUCAGUUUUUGAGUUCUUUUUUUUGUAAUGGAUUUGUUGUUUAAUUUUGUGUGUGUUGUUGCAGAUAUGGAUAAGUUACAGUGGGGAAACAAAAAAAGACUUAGGUGUUUUAAGGUGAAAGGUUCAAGUUCAAAUGGCAAAUCUGAUGGAACAAAUCUAAUUGUAAAGAAGAAAAUCACAUCUAGAGUCGUUGAUAAUAAUAACAAUAAGGAAUCUAAUAUUCUUCCUCCUAUGUCUUCUCCACAUCGUAUUAACAGGUAAUAAUAUCUUCUUUUGGCUAUUGAUGUAUGUGUUGUCUUGAUUGGCAAGUAAACUUGAUGUGAAGAUUGAGAAAAAAAUGAUUCAUUUGUGUUAAAGAUUUGAUUUUUAUUUGAAAUUAGGAGUAGUUUUAGUAUAUGUUGUGUUGAUACUGAAGUAAAGAUUGAGAAAAAAUUGCUUCAUUUGUGUUAAAGAUUUGAUUUUUGUUUCAGAUUAUAAGUAGUUUGGUUUGUUUGGAUGGUGUUGGUAGAGAUUUCAUGGAUGAUGCCUUGUGUAUGUCAAGAUUUUGAUGCAAAAGAAUCAUUCUUUGAUUGCAUAGGGGUUUAAUUAAGUUGAUUGUAUGAGAACUAAUUAGUGGGGUUCUUGUAUAUCAAAGGAAAUACAUCAAAUUUGAGCAGUAUCUGUCCUUUAUUAUGCGAGGGUAAUUGCGAUUUGAUGAGAAAGGAAGUUGAAAGUUCUAGUUUUUAGAUUUGUUUGGGGUUUUAGUUUUGUGAACUCGUUAGAUCUGAAGUUAUAGAUGUAUCUGUUAUUUUGUAUAUCAAAGGACAUACAUCAGAUUUGAGCAGCAUAUGUCCUGUAUUACGCGAGGGUAGCGCGAUUUGAUGUCUAAUUACGUGUAUAUUAGAAGGAUAGGAAGUUGAAAGUUCUAGGUUUUAGGUUUGUCUGGGGUUGGUUUGUAAGCUCAUUAGAUCUGAAGUUAUAGAAGUAUCGGUUAUUUUGGAGCUGGUAAUGAUACUUGAGAAUGAAUUAGAUUGUUUGUGGUGAAGCUAUCACUUCAAAUUGAUUUGAUUUGCUGAUUUUCUUAGUUUUCGUAAGGGGAUUAGAGGUGCUUCUUGUUGUGGUGUUUUACCUUUGAGCACAAUAUUGCUGUUGAAGAUUCCAAGUCUUAAAAUGGAAAAGUACAUGGAUUUGUUUACCCGAAAAGUAAAAGAUUGUAAUGGUACUAAGAUUUGGUGGUUCCUGUUUGUGCAGGGAUUUGGGUAUGAAUAGAUCUAACGCCAAUGAGCAUCGUAAGAUAUCAGUGUCAUCCCCCGAGAAGGAGGAUCAGUAUUAUACAAUGAGAGGGUCAGUAGGCGUGGACGAUAGCAGCAAGUUGCUCGUGGAUGCAAGGGAGGAAAAGAAGAAGAUGGUUUGGCCGAAAUUGCUCAUCACAUUGUCAAGUAAAGAAAAAGAAGAAGAUUUUUUGGCUAUGAAAGGUUGCAAGCUUCCUCAAAGACCUAAGAAAAGGGCCAAGUUGAUACAAAGAACCAUUCUUGUAAGUCCUAUAAAUUCAGACGUAUUGGACGCGUUUCAUUUUAAAUAUUUCUUGAUUCUUUCCUAGUCUAAGCUUACCUAUAUCGUUGUGUGUAGUUGGUGCAACCAGGUACAUGGUUGC